ACUCCUACGGGAGGCAGCAGUGGGGAAUAUUGCACAAUGGGCGCAAGCCUGAUCUAGCCAUGCCGCGUGAGUGAUGAAGGUCUUUAGGAUCGUAAAAGCUCUUUCGCUGGGGAAGAUAAUGACGGUACCCAGUAAAGAAACCCCGGCUAACUCCGUGCCAGCAGCCGCGGUAAUACGGAGGGGGUUUAGCGUUGUUCGGAAUUACUGGGCGUAAAGCGCGCGUAGGCGGACUGGAAAGUUGGGGUGAAAUCCCGGGGCUCAACCUCGGAACUGCCCUCCAAAACUAUCAGUCUAGAGUUCGAGAGAGGUGAGUGGAAUUCCGAGUGUAGAGGUGAAAUUCGUAGAUAUUCGGAGGAACACCAGUGGCGAAGGCGGCUCACUGGCUCGAUACUGACGCUGAGGUGCGAAAGUGUGGGGAGCAAACAGGAUUAGAUACCCUGGUAGGCUCUGC
rnacentral:rRNA from 1 species